CGCAAGCCUGACGGAGCAACGCCGCGUGAGGGAUGAAGGCCUCUGGGCUGUAAACCUCUUUUAUCAAGGAAGAAGAUCUGACAGUACUUGAUGAAUAAGCCACGGCUAAUUCCGUGCCAGCAGCCGCGGUAAUACGGGAGUGGCAAGCGUUAUCCGGAAUUAUUGGGCGUAAAGCGUCCGCAGGCGGCUCUUCAAGUCUGCUGUUAAAAAGUGGAGCUUAACUCCAUCAUGGCAGUGGAAACUGUUGAGCUUGAGUGUGGUAGGGGCAGAGGGAAUUCCCGGUGUAGCGGUGAAAUGCGUAGAUAUCGGGAAGAACACCAGUGGCGAAGGCGCUUUGCUGGGCCAUUACUGACGCUCAUGGACGAAAGCCAGGGGA
rnacentral:rRNA from 1 species